rnacentral:snoRNA from 1 species
UUAUCAAAAUCAUAUGUUCACGAGGCGUCACCGAGGUAUCUUUAUUUACAAUUACUUUGGUUCGAUGGCCUUGUGAGUAGCAUUCAUUUGCUGGUGGGUUCCGUCCUCAUCCAAUGAUGCUUAUACUGUGUUGACAUAUGAUAGAAAGAAUUAUUAAAGGAUGUAUCUCCGUUCAAAAGAGACAAUGUCAAGGACUUGAACGGUCAUGAAUUCCUUUAACAUCA